CAUUCUCAAAAAGAACCCUUCUCGGUCUUGCGAUCGGGAAAGGCCUCUUUUUGGACUUUGGAGGUUAUUGCUGGUCCCCCCUUGAUAGCCAGCUCCUCUUAAAUGAAUUAGUAGGGACCACUUUGCCGACCCUAGACGUGAUAAGAUGUUUCUGCGUCUUGGGUAUUCGCUCUGUCCUUUGGAAAC
rnacentral:misc_RNA from 1 species